GAGUUUGAUCCUGGCUCAGAACGUACGCUGGCGGCACGCCUUAUACAUGCAAGUCGAACGAAGUAGCAAUACUUAGUGGCAGACGGGUGAGUAACAUGUGGGUAUCUUCCCUUUGGUGAGGAAUAACACGAGGAAACUUGUGCUAAUACCUCAUAAGUCUUUACGGAGAAAGCUUUAUGCGCCAAUGGAUGAGCCCGCACUUGAUUAGUUUGUUGGUGGGGUAAUGGCCUACCAAGACUUUGAUCAAUAGCUGAUUUGAGAGGAUGAUCAGCCACAUUGGGACUGAGACACGGCCCAAACUCCUACGGGAGGCAGCAGUUGGGAAUCUUGCACAAUGGAGGAAACUCUGAUGCAGCGAUGCCGCGUGAGUGAAGAAGGCCCUUGGGUUGUAAAGCUCUUUCGUCGGGGAACAAAAUGAGUGUACCCGAAUAAGAAGGUCCGGCUAACUUCGUGCCAGCAGCCGCGGUAAUACGAAGGGACCUAGCGUAGUUCGGAAUUACUGGGCUUAAAGAGUUCGUAGGUGGUUAAAAAAGUUGGUGGUGAAAUCCCAGAGCUUAACUCUGGAACUGCCAUCAAAACUUUUUAGCUAGAGUAUGAUAGAGGAAAGCAGAAUUUCUAGUGUAGAGGUGAAAUUCGUAGAUAUUAGAAAGAAUACCGAUUGCGAAGGCAGCUUUCUGGAUCAUUACUGACACUGAGGAACGAAAGCAUGGGUAGCGAAGAGGAUUAGAUACCCUCGGAGUCCACGCAGUAAACGAUGAAUGCUAGAUGUUGGAAACAUUAGUUUUCAGUAUCGCAGCUAACGCAUUAAGCAUUCCGCCUGGGAAGUACGGCCGCAAGGCUAAAACUCAAAUGAAUUGACGGGGACCCGCACAAGCGGUGGAUCAUGUGGUUUAAUUCGAAGCAACGCGAAGAACCUUACCGGCCCUUGACAUACCAAUCGCGAACUUAAGAGAUUAAGUUUUUCACUUCGGGUGGAUUGGAUACAGGUGCUGCAUGGCUGUCGUCAGCUCGUGUCGUGAGAUGUUGGGUUAAGUCCCGCAACGAACGCAACCCCUACCUUCAAUUGCCAGCACGUUAUGGUGGGAACUUUGAAGGAACUGCCGGUGAUAAGCCGGAGGAGGGUGGGGAUGACGUCAAGUCCUCAUGGCCCUUACGGGCCGGGCUACACACGUGAUACAAUGGUAACUACAAAGAGCAGCGAUGGAGCAAUCUUCAGCAAAUCUCCAAAAGUUACCUCAGUUCGGACUGUACUCUGCAACUCGAGUACAUGAAGUUGGAAUCGCUAGUAAUCGUAGAUCAGCGCGCUACGGUGAAUACGUUCCCGGGUCUUGCACUCAC
rnacentral:rRNA from 1 species